rnacentral:rRNA from 1 species
AUGCAUGAGUGCACCCUGCUGUAGCAGCGUCUUCAGUGUGAUAAGUAUCUUCACUGAUUCAAGCUCCCUUGUGGGACACGCUUGUCUGGUGGGCUCUGUGCUUCUAACCGUCUGCAUGGACAACUCUUGACAAUUUGACCUCAAAUCGGGUGGGACUACCCGCUGAACUUAAGCAUAUCAAUAAGCGGAGGAAAAGAAACUAACAAGGAUUCCCCUAGUAACGGCGAGUGAAGAGGGAAAAGCUCAAAUUUUGAAUCUGGUACCUUUGGUCCCCGAGUUGUAAUCUAGAGAAGUGUUUUCUGCCUUGGACCACGCAUAAAUUCCCUGGAAUGGGGUGUCAUAGAGGGUGAGAAUCCCGUUUGUGGUGUGGACUACCUUGGCUUUGUGAUACACUCUCAACGAGUCGAGUUGUUUGGGAAUGCAGCUCAAAAUGGGUGGUAAAUUCCAUCUAAAGCUAAAUAUUGGCGAGAGACCGAUAGCGAACAAGUACCGUGAGGGAAAGAUGAAAAGCACUUUGGAAAGAGAGUGAAACAGUACGUGAAAUUGUUGAAAGGGAAGCGCUUGAGGUCAGUCACAUCUGUCAGGACUCAGCCAGGCUUCUGCCUGGUGUACUUCCUGGCCGGUGGGUCAGUGUCAGUUUUGACCGAGGGA